rnacentral:rRNA from 1 species
GUAGGGGGCAAGCGUUAUCCGGAAUUAUUGGGCGUAAAGAGUGCGUAGGUGGUUACUUAAGCGCGGGGUUUAAGGCAAUGGCUCAACCAUUGUUCGCCCUGCGAACUGGGUUACUUGAGUGCAGGAGAGGAAAGCGGAAUUCCUAGUGUAGCGGUGAAAUGCGUAGAUAUUAGGAGGAACACCAGUGGCGAAGGCGGCUUUCUGGACUGUUACUGACACUGAGGCACGAAAGUGUGGGGAGCAAA